AUGAAUGCAGGCAAAGAAGGGACGUGAAGAAGAGUUUGAAAGCACACUACAGAAACUUCGUGGCAAGGCCGUUGAUUCAUCUGACGACGCAGCUGAAAUCAAGGUUCUCAGUUUGCAGUCCGCAUUAGAAUUUCAUUGCUAUUUCUAAUUAUUUACAGUACAAUAAGAGAAUGAGUAAUAUGCCAAUUGUCUGACAGGAUCAUAUAGAAACUAUAGAACGGCUCCCAAAAGCCAAACUGCUUGACUUUUCAAAGAAGACACCUGCCCUAAAGUCAUUAUAGUAGUUGGAUUGAUGGUCUUACAACAACUGGGAGGAACCAACGCGUUCUGCUUUUAUGCCAGCCAUACCAUUGAGUCAGCAGGAUUUUCCCUUUCUGUUGAACCAUAACCUAUGCCAUCCUUCAGGUUGUGGCCUUCAGCACAGCCAUAAUAGAUUAAAUUGGAGGAAAGCCUCUUUUAUUGGUUUCUGCUUUUGGAUUGGUCCACAGCUGCAUAAUCACAGGGCUUUCAUUCUAUCUGAAGUUAAAUGCUAGGCAAACAAUGGAUAAGGUUGUGAGAAUGCUGUAAACAGAACUCUCACUCCCCCCUCUCAUCCACAGUUGUUGCCCUAUAGAUCUCAAAAGGUCAGCAUAUUUUACCCUAUAGAAUAAGCAAGUGCUAGAGGUAUAGUGUUACCCUAUAGAAUAAUCAAAAGGUCAUUUUCAGAUGUUCUUUGGUUUUAGAAUUUAACAUUUUGUUUGCCCAUUUACUUUAUUGGUGACUAGAGAACUGAAUAGAGAUUGUAGCUGCAGCCAGUAUGCUUUUUCAGUGAACCCUCUUCUUGAGGUGGCUAUCCAAGGAUUGGCGUGCUGCCUUGUGAGUUUCUCUAAACUUUGAAGGCAUGGUAGAAGCUCAAUGCUUCUUUGGAUUGUAAUGGAGAAAAGGCCCGGUUUGGAGAUUGUUUCGACAAUUGUCAUUUGGUUUGGCAUGGUUUAGUCCUGUUUGCAAUGUACAUUAUAGUGGAGAUGGGAAGGCUAAGCUGUAGGCGGCAUUAUAUGCGUUGGAAAGUAUAUGCUGGAAAUCUGAAAGGUUGUGCACAUCUGUGCAUUAGGCUGGCUGGAGCAUGAUAAUGCUCUGUGUGAUGGAAAGAAUGUAUCAGUAACUGGUCUCAGUUUCAUAAUAUUUUCCCUUGAAUUUUGAGCCAGUAGAAAUCACACAUUGCUGGCAUUUGGAGCUGUUAACUUUCUUGAGUAGUUUAAUGAUUUGUUGUUCAUUGAGUUUUGAGAGGUAAA